AAAGAAUAAUAACAAUAAUAGAAGUAUGGUUAUUCGGUACCUUAAUUAAUACAUGCCGUUCAUCUAAAUUUCGUUUAAGUUGUGACAGGAGAUUCUCAUCUCGCAUGAGCAUCAUUAAG